rnacentral:rRNA from 1 species
ACUCCUACGGCAGGCAGCAGUGGGGAAUUUUGCGCAAUGGGGGAAACCCUGACUCAGCAACGCCGCGUGAGUGAUGAAGGCCUUCGGGUCGUAAAGCUCUGUCAGAGGGAAAGAAGUGCAGUGGUGCUAAUACCAUCAUUGCUUGACGGUACCCUCAAAGGAAGCACCGGCUAACUCCGUGCCAGCAGCCGCGGUAAU